rnacentral:rRNA from 1 species
GACGAACGCUGGCGGCGUGCUUAACACAUGCAAGUCGAACGGAAAGGCCCUGCUUUUGUGGGGUGCUCGAGUGGCGAACGGGUGAGUAACACGUGAGUAACCUGCCCCUGACUUUGGGAUAACUUCAGGAAACUGGGGCUAAUACCGGAUAGGAGCUCCUGCCGCAUGGUGGGGGUUGGAAAGUUUCGGCGGUUGGGGAUGGAAUGGCGGCUUAUCAGCUUGUUGGUGGGGUAGUGGCUUACCAAGGCUUUGACGGGUAGCCGGCCUGGGAGGGUGACCGGCCACAUUAGGACUGAGAUACGGCCCAGACUCGAACGGUAGGCAACGGAGGAGAAGAUUGCACAGUGGGCUGGGGCCUGGUGCGACAACGCCGCGUGCGGUAUGACGUCCUUCGGGUUGUGAACCACUUUCGCCUGUGACGAGGCGUUAGUGACGGUAAUGGGUAAAGAAGCUCCGGCUAACUACGUG